GAUGAACGCUGGCGGCGUGCCUAAUACAUGCAAGUCGAGCGAACAGACGAGGAGCUUGCUCCUCUGACGUUAGCGGCGGACGGGUGAGUAAAACGUGGAUAACCUACCUAUAAGACUGGGAUAAAUUCGGGAAACCGGAACUAAUACCGGAUAAUAUAUUGAACCGCAUGGUUCAAUAGUGAAAGACGGUUUUGAUGUCACUUAUAGAUGGAUCCCCGCCGCAUUAGCUAGUUGGUAAGGUAACGGCUUACCAAGGCAACGAUGCGUAGCCGACCUGAGAGGGUGAUCGGCCACACUGGAACUGAGACACGGUCCAGACUCCUACGGGAGGCAGCAGUAGGGAAUCUUCCGCAAUGGGCGAAAGCCUGACGGAGCAACGCCGCGUGAGUGAUGAAGGUCUUCGGAUCGUAAACCUCUGUUAUUAGGGAAGAACAAAUGUGUAAGUAACUAUGCACGUCUUGACGGUACCUAAUCAGAAAGCCACGGCUAACUACGUG
rnacentral:rRNA from 1 species